UGGAUUCCUGUUGGGGAGCUGUGGCGUUACCGUGGCAUUGACCAGCGAUGCCUGCCAUAAGGGUCUUCCCAAGAGUGCAACCGGAGAGAUCCCGCAGUUCAAAGGAUGGCCCAAGUUGCUGUGGUUUGUUACCGAGUCGAAGCACCUCUCCAAACCCCCUCGAGACUGGUUCCCACACAUCAAAGAUGCAAACAACGACACCGCUUACAUAGAGUAUAAAACCUGUAAGGACGGCAGCGUGCUGGGAGUCACUGUGAC